GGAUCAUUUCAUGUACAGUACAAAUUGUAAGGAAAUUAAUUUGCAUGACAUUUAAAAUCAUAUUAAACUACAGACACAAAAUCAUUCCAAUAUAUAAUGUAUUAUUUGACCUGUUCCAUAAUCACAAGAGUUUCACCAUAUAUGUGCAGCUGUACACACUAAAAACUAGGUUUCGAGAAAAACAUUUCACAUAAAUGGGCGAAAAAGAGACACUGAGCAGAUGGGCCAACUGCAGUCAGACUUUGAGCACUUUAAGUACCCCUUCAGAUAUUUUUGCAGUUUUAUAGCUGUGGUUACAUUUCUCUGUGCAUGCAUGGUUGUAAUUAUUUAUAACGUUUGUAAUUGUAUAGAUACUGAAUAGUAAGGUGAGUUGAGCUGACUACACCCAUCAAAGUUGCCUGUCAAGUUCAUAUGGUCUGCUGUUAACCCUGUGUAAAAAAAUAAUAAUAAUAAAAAUAAAAACAUUAAAAAAAUAUAAUAAUAAAAAUAUGUGCAGUAUUGAGAUGACUGCAAGUCAAAAGUACUGCUUAUAAUAUAUGUGAAUGUACUUAUUUCUACUCUGAAUGUCUGGGGGGGAAAAGCCCCGGACAAUAUCCUGUAUGCACACAAAAAAGUUAGAACUUAUACUUCUGUUUGCCCUGUUGGGCAUUCCUACAGUCUGUCAUCUGCCUCCAUCUCACCCCAUCCCACUUCUGUAACACCAACCUGCUACUUUCAUUACAUCCAUAAACCUCCUCUGCAAUCAUCCUCUUUUUCCUUCUGCCUGGCAUCUUUAUCUUUAACAUGCUUUGCCCGUUGUGUCCACUAUCCAUCCUCACCAUAUGUCCAAGCCAUUUCAACUUUGCUUCAAUGUCCCUCCUAGUCACUCGCAACUAAAAAUUUAGAAUCUUCAGCGCCACCUCCCGUCUUUUUGUCAGUGCCACCGUCUCCAAACCAUACAUCAUCGCAAGUCUUACUAACAUCUUAACUUUCCUUUUGCAUUCUUCUAUGCUUAUGUCGCCAAUCACACCUGACACUAGUGCCCACUCACUCCACCUCGUCCACAACCUCUUCACCACUUCCUGUGUGGACUGUUCGUUGCUUUGGAUGGUUGACCCCCAGGUAUUUUGAACACAAAUCAGCUCGAACUAAUACUGAAACUUAAUGAAAACUUAACUAAAACGAGCAAACUAACUGAAUUAUGUCAGCAAACUAACUUGGAGAUUAGCAAGCACCUACUAUCCCCAGGUGUAAUUUAAGUUAAGGUGACACGCGGUGCAUGAAGUCCAAGCUGUAGCUGCUUAGAAGCGAAAAGUAUUUCCAACUUUAGCAAACUGUAAAUCAGUUAAAACCGUAAAUACAUGAGAAAAAAAUAAAUGAAAAGGAAAAAUAGUUAAUAAACAUAGUGUCUACUUACCAAAGUCGUUAACAACCGCUUAAUUUUAUCG
ensembl:lncRNA